UACGGGGGGGGCAAGCGUUGUUCGGAAUUACUGGGCGUAAAGGGUUUGUAGGUGGCUUGCUAAGUCAGACGUGAAAUCCCUCAGCUUAACUGGGGAACUGCGUCUGAUACUGGCGAGCUCGAGGCAGGUAGGGGGAAGCGGAAUUCCCGGUGUAGUGGUGGAAUGCGUAGAUAUCGGGAGGAACACCAGUGGCGAAGGCGGCUUCCUGGACCUGUUCUGACACUGAGGAGCGAAAGCGUGGGGAGCGAUCCGG
rnacentral:rRNA from 1 species